GGGUCAGUAGGUUGGUCGUGCCACCGGUACGUACUGGUCUCACUGAUUCCUCCUUCCUGAAGAACCGUAAUGCCAUUAAUUUGGUGUUGCGGGGAAACAGGACUGUUACUUUGUAAAAAUUAGAGUGUUUAAAGCAAGCUAACGCUUGAAUUCAUUAGCAUGGAAUAAUGAAAUAGGACGAUCGAUCCUAUUUUGUUGGUUUCUAGGAUUGACGUA
rnacentral:rRNA from 1 species